CCUUGAUAGCAAUGGGAGCAAGUGCCUUCACUCUUGAGUCAUCCAAGUUUGCUAUGAAGCAUUCUACAUUUCUACUCCUGAACAAACCAAGCUUGUCAUGAAAUUGUUCAAAGUGCUGAUUUUGGUGUAACCAAUGGUUCCUUAAUAGCAAUGGGAGCAAGUGCCUUCACUCCUGACCAAUCCAAGUUUGCCAUGAAGCGUUCUACAUUUCUACUCCUGAGCAAACAAAGUUUGUCAUGAAAAGUUAUCGGUGAAAUCGAUCUGAGCGUAUUGGCGACGGCAAUAAUAUACUC
rnacentral:lncRNA from 1 species